AUGGCCCUGGAGACUAAAUCCCUCUGUUUAGCCACAGAGCGGGUCCCGUGCAGGUGGCAAUGGAGUGAGCUUCCCCCAGACUGCCCCACGCCUGAGUCUCCUCCUGAGCAGGAGGCUGAGGGGUGAGUUUGACUCUGUUACCCUCAAAGAAGAGGGAGA
rnacentral:sRNA from 1 species